rnacentral:rRNA from 1 species
ACACGACUACAUUAGAUACCCCUGUAGUCCUAGCCGUAAACGAUACUCGCUAGGUGUCGGCCACGGUGCGAUCGUUGUCGGUGCCGUAGGGAAGCCGUGAAGCGAGCCACCUGGGAAGCACGGCCGCAAGGCUGAAACUUAAAGGAAUUGGCGGGGGAGCACAACAACGGGUGGAGCUUGCGGUUUAAUUGGAUUCAACGCCGGAAAUCUUACCGGGACCGACAGCAACAUGAAGGCCAAGCUGAAGACUUUGCCGGAUUAGCUG